AGGAUCUUUGAUCCUUUUUUUCUUCCAUCUCUUCUUGCAGAUGUUCAAGGACCAAGAUGGCAACGCCGGACAGCAAGGUUUUGCUGAGUUUCUGCAUUUAUAUUGGUUCCUUUUCCCUGUUCUCACCUGCAAUGAGUUAAUGACAGAUUAGGGUCUGAAAUAACAAGAAAAUUGAAAAAGCAAACUUAUAUGUGAAUGUGUAAAAUUCAAUUUGUCUUUGGAAGUUCUGUCUAUCUAUAUCAAGAAUGUCUCAUUUUAUAAUACGUAAGAGUUACUGUUUGGUCACUUUCUGUACUAAGUAAAUAAGUUCUGCUUCAGGUGUCUCUAUGUGAGGUCGGGCUCUCAUGAAAAGAUUUUUCCCUGUUAAUGAGUUGUCAGCAAAUACAUUGGUUUUAGGUUUUGGACAAUCUGAACCAAAUGUUGCUAUGAUAAACCGUUGCUACAUUUGACUCUUUGCUAGCUAUAGUUGGUACCUUAGAGGGUCUUUAUUGUUUGACCACUACUAAAACCACUAAACCACUACUGCUCAUUCAUUAACAACUAAGAAAAUAUAUAAAUAGCUUCUAGUCUUCAAUAAAGAGUAACAUGCUUAGCAAUAAAUUAAUUAGGUUUGAAUUAAAACAAUAAGUAGUCAUCAUGAUAAAAUAAGACAUUACUGAGUAUUAUGACCAACAUAAUAAUGAUUAGUAACUAAAAGUAUUGGCAUAUCAUUUUGUUUCUAUAAAUCUCAUUUUAGCGUGUAAUAGUGUUUCCUUUUUAAAAACAUUAUUAGUUUCAAACAUGUGAGCUUGAAUGCUGCUGCUUUGACUUUGACUUUCAGGAACAUGUAGUAUACACCCUGAGUGACUGGUGUUUCUAGUCAAUUGUCCACCCCCCAUGUACAUUAAAAGGGGAUUUCUAUUUCUCUAGUCAGUAACUUUACAAGAACACAAGACAUGAGCAACACAUGAAUAAAGAAGGAACAUACAUAAGGAAGGAAGCACAAAGCUCUUUUAAUAGCCUUUUUAUGGGUCACAGCGCCAAACCACCAAAAUACACAGAAACGCCAACACACAUGUACAAAAAUAACAGGACAAGAAACAUACUGUGUGAAAGUCUGUCUAAAGUGCAGAUUGAACUGGACAUCCUUCAGCUGAAAUGCAAUUUUAACCUCUGAUUAAUGUUAAUUAUAUAUGUUUCGGUCAUUUUUUUUCUGCAGAGACCAAUUUUAUAAGAUUUUGUCCUGGGAAACCCCAUUGGACAUUUUUUGCUGGUAGACACAAUUUCAUAUUGAAUCACAGACAUAUUGUUAGUUUGGAGGUAAUAGUGACCAAUGUCUAGUGUCUACAUGUCCUACAGGCCACCAUUCAAAAGGACCUCUGGUGGUUACCAAACUCCAAAUUAGGAAGCAGCAGUGCUUUUGGAGUCCACUGGCUCCAGGCUGAGAACACCAGCGAGUCUCUGGAGCGAACCCUCAGCUUGCUGAUUCUCUUCGGUAUCAGAAGAGAUAAAGAACGUCCGGUCUAAAGGCAGAUAGGUCACACAAUAAGAACAAAAAAAUGCAAUGGAGAGAAUAACAUACAUGGAGAAAUCACCAGAUUUAGUUUGAGUGCAAGUUUGAGUGUACCAUGCCAUCAUCUUUAAACACGUAUUCAAUCUCAUGCUCCAGAGAGAAGAAGCUGUGAGGAGUUGACCAGCUGGACGGUGGAUCAAUGGUCACAUUCAGGUCCUGCUCCACCUCCUGACACUUCACAAUUCGGGGACUAUCGGGUUGAACUGGACAGAACAAAAUAAAAACGAGGGCCAAAGUGUAUCAGUAUGGAAUCAUCAAAGUAUAUAAAUGAGCAAAUAUUUGACUAAUAAAAUAACAUUUAUUUACUGAUGAGCAAUGACACAACUGCUAACAAUUGCAUUCUUUUCUUUUUAGUGCUUGAAUUUGAAUGUUUUUGAAACUAUUUAAACAUUUGAAAAUAAUUUCAUUUUACAAGAACUUUUAUGUAGUUUGAUAAUCUGUUGAAGAGUCUAGUUUACUUCAUCAGAAAGUGACUUUACAAUAUACCAUUGGGACCAAAUAUCCUUCUAAUUUCCUGAUAACUGAAUAAUAUCCUGAUAUUUAAUUUUGUACUUUAUAAACAGCUUUGUUGGUGAUUUUUGAAAAAGAUGCUCUUUACGCUUUAAUCUUGAUAAUCUUCUGUUGAAUGCCUUUAAUGUAGCUCAGUUUCAAGCAGCUUACCAAUGUCUCUGAGAUAAAAUCUCUUGGUUCUCCUGAGGAUGCGGAAAUUAGUGAUGGCCUCAGCAGUGAGUUCGAGCAUGCUGCUUUCCUCAGCGUAGGGUGAGAGGGAGUGGGGCAGCUCAAACUGGAAUCCCCCACCCGGUAGCUGCUCACUGCUGCUGACCCAGUGACACGACUUCCUACCUUCACUGCUACAAAGACAAGCAAUAAAACACUGAUAUGUCACUUUGUGACAUAUGUAACAGACUUGUUGGUCUAUGUUCAUACACUAUAUGUAGUACUUUUAGCCUCUGUUAUGUCAUUUGUCUUGUAUUUUUCUUUACCAGUCUUGGCCCAGUCCAAUGCGCACUGCUGUGUAUUUUCUUUGGGUCCACUUGCAGCUGAAGUUACAGUGAUACGACUUUGCCCGACAACUGAAAAAAGAAUCUAUAAAGAUACACAAUGUGAGUGAAAAGUUUAAUGGAAAAUGUUUGGAUAAUAAAACAAUACAUGAAAAUA